UACGGGGGAUGCAAGCGUUAUCCGGAAUCAUUGGGCGUAAAGCGCCUGUAGGUUGUUUAAUAAGUCUGUUGUUAAAGACUAGGGCUCAACCCUAGAAAAGCAAUGGAAACUACUAGACUAGAGUAUGGCAGGGGUAGAGGGAAUUUCUAGUGUAGCGGUGAAAUGCGUAGAUAUUAGAAAGAACACCGGUGGCGAAAGCGCUCUACUGGACCAUUACUGACACUCAGAGGCGAAAGCUAGGGUAGCAAAAGGGAUUAGAUACCCCUGUAGUCCUAGCCGUAAACGAUGGAUACUAGAUGUUGUAUUUAUUUUACAGUAUCGUAGCUAACGCGUUAAGUAUCCCGCCUGGG
rnacentral:rRNA from 1 species